rnacentral:rRNA from 1 species
UGCCGCGUGCAGGAUGAAGGCCUUCGGGUUGUAAACUGCUUUUGUACGGAACGAAACGGUGAGCUCUAAUACGGUUUGCUAAUGACGGUACCGUAAGAAUAAGCACCGGCUAACUACGUGCCACCAGCCGCGGUAAUACAUACGGUGCGAGCGUUAAUCGGAAUUACUGGGCGUAAAGCGUGCGCAGGCGGUGAUGUAAGACAGAUGUGAAAUCCCCGGGCUCAACCUGGGACCUGCAUUUGUGACUGCAUCGCUUGAGUACGGUAGAGGGGGAUGGAAUUCCGCGUGUAGCAAUGAAAUGCGUAGAUAUGCGGAGGAACACCGAUGGCGAAGGCAAUCCCCUGGACCUGUACUGACGCUCAUGCACCAAGGCGUGGGGAGCAAACAAGAUUACAUGCCCUGGUACUCCACGCCCUAAACAAUCUCAACUGGUUGUUGGGUCUUCACUGACUCACUAACGAAACUAACGCGUGAACUUGACCGCCCGGUGAGUACAGCCGCACGGUUGAAACUCGAAGGAAUUGACCGGGACCCGCACAACCGGUGGAUGAUGUGGUUUAAUUCCAUGCAACCCUAACAACCUUACCCACCUUUGACAUGUACGGAAGUCCCUAUAUAU